rnacentral:rRNA from 1 species
UACGAAGGGGGCUAGCGUUGUUCGGAAUCACUGGGCGUAAAGCGCGCGUAGGCGGAAUGGUAAGUCAGAUGUGAAAUCCCGGGGCCUAACCUCGGAACUGCAUUUGAAACUAUCAUUCUAGAGACUCGGAGGGGGUGGCGGAAUUCCAAAUGUAGGGGUGAAAUCCGUAGAUAUUUGGAGGAACACCGGUGGCGAAGGCGGCCACCUGGACGAGUACUGACGCUGAGGCGCGAAAGCGUGGGGAGCAAACAGG